CUGGCUCAGAUUGAACGCUGGCGGAAUGCUUUACACAUGCAAGUCGAACGGCAGCACGGGGGCAACCCUGGUGGCGAGUGGCGAACGGGUGAGUAACACAUCGGAACGUGCCCAAUCGUGGGGGAUAACGUAGCGAAAGCUACGCUAAUACCGCAUACGAUCUACGGAUGAAAGCGGGGGAUCGCAAGACCUCGCGCGAAUGGAGCGGCCGAUGGCAGAUCAGGUAGUUGGUGGGGUAAAGGCUCACCAAGCCAACGAUCUGUAGCUGGUCUGAGAGGACGACCAGCCACACUGGGACUGAGACACGGCCCAGACUCCUACGGGAGGCAGCAGUGGGGAAUUUUGGACAAUGGGCGCAAGCCUGAUCCAGCCAUUCCGCGUGCAGGAUGAAGGCCUUCGGGUUGUAAACUGCUUUUGGACGGAACGAAAAGCCAUUUUCUAAUACAAGAUGGUCAUGACGGUACCGUCAGAAUAAGCACCGGCUAACUACGUGCCAGCAGCCGCGGUAAUACGUAGGGUGCAAGCGUUAAUCGGAAUUACUGGGCGUAAAGCGUGCGCAGGCGGUUAUGUAAGACAGUUGU
rnacentral:rRNA from 1 species